CUACGAAAGGUGCAAGCGUUGUUCGGAUUUACUGGGCGUAAAGAGAGUGUAGGUGGUUUAUUAAGUCGGAUGUGAAAUCCCGGGGCUCAACCUCGGAACUGCAUUCGAUACUGAUAGGCUAGAGUUUGGGAGGGGUAAGCGGAAUUCCGUGUGUAGCAGUGAAAUGCGUAGAUAUACGGAGGAACACCUGAGGCGAAGGCGGCUUACUGGACCAAUACUGACACUGAGACUCGAAAGCGUGGGUAGCAAACAGGAUUAGAAACCCCGGUAGUCC
rnacentral:rRNA from 1 species